rnacentral:rRNA from 1 species
GAUGAACGCUGGCGGCGUGCCUAAUACAUGCAAGUCGAGCGAACGGACGAGAAGCUUGCUUCUCUGAUGUUAGCGGCGGACGGGUGAGUAACACGUGGAUAACCUACCUAUAAGACUGGGAUAACUUCGGGAAACCGUAGCUAAUACCGGAUAAUAUUUUGAACCGCAUGGUUCAAAAGUGAAAGACGGUCUUGCUGUCACUUAUAGAUGGAUCCGCGCUGCAUUAGCUAGUUGGUAAGGUAACGGCUUACCAAGGCAACGAUGCAUAGCCGACCUGAGAGGGUGAUCGGCCACACUGGAACUGAGACACGGUCCAGACUCCUACGGGAGGCAGCAGUGGGGAAUCUUCCGCAAUGGGCGAAAGCCUGAAGGAGAAACGCCGCGUGAGUGAUGAAGGUCUUCGGAUCGUAAAACUCUGUUAUUAGGGAAGAACAUAUGUGAAAGUAACUGUGACCAUCUUGACGGUACCUAAUAAAAAAGCCACGGCUAACUACGU